rnacentral:rRNA from 1 species
GGGUCGGCGUACAGGUGCUGCAUGGCUGUCGUCAGCUCGUGCUGUGAAGUGUGGGUAAGUCCCGCAACGAGCGCAACCCUGCUAUCUGUUGCCAGCAAGUAAUGUUGGGGACUCAGAUGGAACUGCCGGUGACAAACCGGAGGAAGGUGGGGACGACGUCAAGUCAUCAUGGCCCUUAUGUCCUGGGCUACACACGUGCUACAAUGGCCGGUACAGAGCGCAGCGAAGCCGCGAGGCAAAGCGAAUCGCAAAAAGCCGGUCUCAGUACGGAUUGGAGUCUGAAACCCGACUCCAUGAAGUUGGAAUCGCUAGUAAUCGCGCAUCAGCAUGGCGCGGUGAAUACGUUCCCGGGCCUU